GACGAACGCUGGCGGCGUGCCUAAUACAUGCAAGUAGAACGCACAGUUUAUACCGUAGCUUGCUACACCAUAGACUGUGAGUUGCGAACGGGUGAGUAACGCGUAGGUAACCUGCCUGGUAGCGGGGGAUAACUAUUGGAAACGAUAGCUAAUACCGCAUAAUAUUAAUUAUUGCAUGAUAAUUAAUUGAAAGGUGCAAUUGCACCACUACCAGAUGGACCUGCGUUGUAUUAGCUAGUAGGUGAGGUAACGGCUCACCUAGGCGACGAUACAUAGCCGACCUGAGAGGGUGAUCGGCCACACUGGGACUGAGACACGGCCCAGACUCCUACGGGAGGCAGCAGUAGGGAAUCUUCGGCAAUGGACGAAAGUCUGACCGAGCAACGCCGCGUGAGUGAAGAAGGUUUUCGGAUCGUAAAGCUCUGUUGUAAGAGAAGUACGGGUGUGAGAGUGGAAAGUUCACACUGUGACGUAUCUACCAGAAAGGAC
rnacentral:rRNA from 1 species